UCCAGGAGCCAGUCCAUAGGCUCCAGCACCACCGCCACCCUCGUGAGGUUAAGUUUGCUGUCUCUCAUGGUGAGGGGGAGCUAGCAUAGAAAUGUACUACUGUAUAUAUCCCACACACUUACACUGCUCGGCCACGACUGCUAAUUGUUGAUAGCUAGCUUAUAGCACAAAUCAUGAGAGACCGCCAUUAAUGCCACUCCUCCAAAUCUCAUUCAGUUACUGUAGAUACAAUAUAGAUACUGUACAUAAACUAAUGCUGCAGCGUUAAAUGACAAUGAUCAUAGAUCCCAUAGAAUUUGUCUUUUUGAAUGACCUUAAAAAAGUUGAGCAAUGACCCAUUUUGGCAUCCUAAGCCACAGUUUGGGAAACCCUGACUGACACAGUAUUGUUUGAUCAUUUUAUAGUGCCUUUAUUAAGUAAAAAUAGACAUUUGAGGCUUGCAUUAUGUUGUAGAUGCCAACUACUUAUUGACAAAGCAGGGCUUCCCAGACUUUUUCAACUUAAAACAUUAAGAAAUUGCCAAAACAUCAACAUAUACUGUACAUAAACUAAUAACAGAGCACACUUGAGACAUUCUAUUACAACAAACACGAGUCCCAAAGCUGCUGAGAAGCCUUUUUUUUUUUCCAUAGUGACCCACAAAAUGUGACUUGCAACCCAUUUUAGGUCCUGAGCCACAGUUCGGGGACCCUUGACGUAAAGACGUAAGUAUUACUUCAUAAGAAAUGGCCCUGCUGACUGAUGAUGAUGUAUUUCAUGUUUGAGCUGCACACUCACCUGAGGAGCAUUCCCUGCAGGAAGCACUCCUGGAAAGGAGAAACAAAGUAGUAAAACCUACACUGAAGGAAUGAAUGUGCAUAAUAAUAAUAAUGUGCAUCUCAUCAGCUCUCAGCUUUGGAGAUAAAGUACUCCAGGUGAGUCUUUGUCAGAAGAGUUUGUUAAGAAUCCAUCUCCUUCCAAAAAAAAAAAAAAAAAAGGUUCCGCAGAUAGAAAUAGCAAACAUCCAUAUAUCGGCUGAACCAUCUUGACCUCUCUUCCAAUAUCCUCAGUGUCCGUGGUUGUUUACAGAUCUUUCUCGCUGGCAAACAACCCCGCCUGUCUGGCUCCUAUUGGCUCUCUGAGUGGUAGUACCGGGCGACUCCUCGUUCCUUCCCAUCAAAACCUGGCAAAGGCUGCCCGUAUUUGUCCACACACCAACAGAAGCCUCGCUUUCUGCCCUUGGAUGGACGACACUGGAAGUGAAGAGGAGGGACAAAAAAAGAAGCCCUUCUUGUCACAGUUUGGUAUGCGGAAGCCUCUGGGAUUGAGAGUGUCUGUAAUCUUCAGGCUGCUGAGAAUGCUCACGAUCUCUCGUCGACAGGGACCCUGCGCAUGAUGGAGAAGCAGAUAAGCGCUUACCUUUCAUUCUCUCAAUAUGCAGCUCGCCACAUUUGUUGUGUUCGCCGUUCCAAUUUAGUGCCUAUAUCUGGUUAUUUUUAUUGUGUACAUUAUACAAGUGUUUCAUAUCUGUAUGACUUCACUGAACAUCCAAAGCAAUCUGCAAAAAACCCCAAAUGCAUGUUAACAACAACCCUAAUGUAAAUAUUGGGCAACAACAAAACAAACAUAAAUCUUCACACCUCUCCUACUAGCAUAUUUACAUGCACCUGGAAUGCACUAUUAACUUUUUCUGACUUAUAAAUGUUGUUUUAUGAUGUGAAAUGAUGCCAAAGUUCCGGAUAAUGAGGUUUGCGCAUUUGGACUCCUGAAAGAAAUUUGGGAUGGCUCUGUAAGCCUAGUUUCAGAGACUUUUUUUCUAACACUGGCUCACUGUGACAUCACUGUGAGCCCUGUGAAAAGUCACUGGCUGAAUGGGCACACCCAGGUACAAGUUGUAAGCCUAACACGCCUAACUCCGCUAACAUGAAGCAAUGGUUUCCAGGUUUUUCCAUCUCUGAGGGAACGCUAACUUGCCAAGCAUCAGGCAGAAGUGGUUGGAGUUGCAGAUUCCAGGUGAAGUGAAAAAUAUACGACUGUUUUGUGAGCAUGGGCGAAGCUGGACUCUCUGCCGAACUGUUGCUGAAGCCCGAUGCCUUUCCAACGUUCCUUGGUCAUGUUGAAGAGUUAGAAGCGCAAGCUUUCCAAAGCCCUCAAUGCACUCUACUAUGUGGAUCAAGCAUGCAAAAUCAAGGUGCACACAUACCUGGAAGUUCAUUGACAGGAGCCGAUGGUCUCUCCAGCCUGCAGAGGUCUCGUCUCCCCGGGCUGAUGCUGGCAUGACAGCCCGGAGCCACAUCUGCCCGUAUACACGCCGCACGGCUGGCCGAAGCUGAGCGCGCAAGUCAGGCAGCACCCGCAGCCCGGCUCGCGGACCUUCUCCGCGCAGUCCUUGGGCAGAGGUUUGCACGACAGGCGCGCUCCAUCAUCGCAGGGCUCGCACCUGAUCACCGGACCGAGCGCACCUGACCUCCGGGUAAAAGACGCCAGGACAAAAGUCAUGCAAAGUGCACGGAAGCAUGAAUCCAUGAUUGUGGCGUGUGGAGGGAAUAAUCCUCGAUAUGCUAACUUCUUCUUCUUCUUCUUUUCUCAUUCACCUAAAGCCAAAACAUCUCAAUAUAUAGACCCUGGUGACUGUAGUCACUCCCCCCGCGGAACCUGUGGUCCACCAGGGGUGGAUUGGCCAUCGGGAGUACCGGGAGUUUUCCCAGUGGGACGAAAAUGAGGCUGAUGGACGGCCACUUAUUUAUUUAUGUAUUUAUGACCGCGCCUUGCAACGUUACGUUAUAUUAAUUGAAAAUAGACAUUCCGAGCACUAGGACCAGGCGGAAAAUGGCCGCUCAAGUUUUAAAAGUAUGUUUUCUUAUUGCCCGCCUACAAGCUCAUUGAUUGGCUUUGCAGUUUUUUGCUAACAUGUGAUUGGCUCGCGUGACUGUUUAUAACUUUAUUUAACAUAAUAAAUUGCAAACAUAGUACGGCGUAGUAGCAUAAGAGACGCCAUCAUUACCACCCAGAACUUUCUCCAGCAUUUGAAAUAACAGAAGAAGAUAAGCCGUUUGGGUUCUGCAGUCGCCACACCUGCAAGACUUCACUUCCUUCCUUCCUUCCUUCUUCCUGCCCUCCCCGGGAAUUCUUCGCCUUCACCACCUGCAUAAAGACACUAGAAAGGACAAGGAGGAGGAGGAAGAGCUUAUUACACUGGCCCUCGAGCAACCAUGAAGAGAACCUGCCCAGACGUGAGGGUGAUUCCCUGUGAGGACACCUUGAAAUGUACCACCGUGGAAAUUGGAGGAGGAUUAGAGCUCAGAGUCAUACCGGUGGCCUUCUGCACCGCCUGGACCCCCGUCAGGGACUCCAUGUCCACCGAGCCUAGUGGUCCCGAAUCUCUGAACAAUGGAGAUUGUGAAAAGGAGGUGAACAAGCGUGUGCAGGCAGGAUGGAACAGGUGGGGAAAAAUGUCAGACGUGAUGUGUGAUAGAAGAGUUUCAUCUAAAAUGAAAGGAAAGGUAUACAAAACAGUGGUGAGACCAGCCAUGUUGUUCGGUCUAGAGACAGGACCACUGUGGAAAAGACAGGAAGCAGAAGUGAGGAUGCUGAGGUUCUCAUUGGGAGUGACCAGGAUGGAUAGGAUCAGGUACAAGUCCAUCAGAAGGACAUUACAUGUUAGAGUAAAGGCAGUAAAGGGAAUUUAUUGCCGUUGUUAUUAUUAUCAUCAUCAUUAUUAUUUAGUAGCGUUUGUGCUUAAACUGCUGUAUUUGUCAAAGUUGCAUGUUGAACGACAUUCUAUUUUGUAUGUAUUCUGGCUACCUGCAUGCUUCUAUUUACUGCUUUAUGUCAAAAUAACUUCUGUUGCUAAAACAACAAAGCAAGAGGUGGGCUAAGAUUUUUGCACAGUACGUUUUAUGACAAUAUAAUACAUGAGGGCUGUAGAGGGCAGUAUUGUGCAUAAAGAUGUUCGCUUGGCAGUUCAAAUGAAAAGGCCCAGAUGAUGUCACUCACCAAAAUAAGGCUCAUUGGGGCAACCCUUCAAGCGAACCCCCCUCUGUGUGCAUUCAAUCAGGAAGUGGCGCACUAAUUCAUUAGAAAGAUCUCCGCCUGUCACACACACACACAGACACAGACACACAUACACAAAAACAAAGUUGAUUAAUUAAUCAACAAUAGCAGAACUAUCCUCUAGUCAACAAACUCUUUUGCAACCGCUCUGAGCAGGCCGUCCGUGUAAUUUCCCAGCCUUGAGGAGUUAGAAAAUACACACUGAAAGUCGUUCCCGCUCGUGAGAUAAAUGGGAUUAUGAUUCCACAGAAGCGCCUUGGAGGGGGCGGGAGGAGCUGAGGAAUGUUUGGAUACAAAGGCUUGGAGAAAGACCUGCUCCUUAAGAUGGGUUGGGUUUCACACUAAUAAGGAACUACAAUGAACUAAG